rnacentral:lncRNA from 1 species
AUUUAACCAUACUUGGCCAUAAUCAUCAUUGAGGAAUCUAGUUUAAAAAAUGCGUGCAGUGACCCAGCCAACCAACCAAGAUGGUCACCAUGGCUAAAAAUAGAACAUAGGGGUAAAAUGUAGAUUUUGGCUUAUAACUCUGAAACCGAAGCAUUUAGAGCAAAUCUUUUGUGGGGUUCUAUUGUUUACAAAGUGAAGAUAGAUCUUCCCUGGAAUUUUCAGAUGAAUCGAGUUGUUGGGUUGCUGCCCCUGAAUUGGUAAUUUUUAAGGAAAUUA